UACCCUUUAUAUCAAAAAAACUUUUCAUCUAAGUGAAAAGACUUAGAUAGCAAAGGAAGACGAAAAGACCCCGCGGAACUUUACUUUUUCUCGUAUCCACGCCAAGGAGCACAAAGAUACAAAAAGUUGGAUUGGGGCAAUCUCGGAACCUCCNAAGCUUCCGACUAUGANAAAAGAAAAUUCAAAAUUUGAUAUAGACAAAAUAGAAGUUACCCCGGGGAUAACAGCGUUAUCCAACUUAAGAGUACACAUCGAAAGUUGGGUUUGCGACCUCGAUGUUG
rnacentral:rRNA from 1 species